GGUAACCUUCAGCUCCAGCUGCCGCUAAUCAUUCCUCACUACACAGAGGUAUUUAACGGGGUGUCCAGACGGCAGUCGACGCUGGAUUGUACUCGGAGCUCGGUGGAGAAGUACGCGACGGAGGAGUGGAGAGAAGGGGUUCACUGGUGUUUUCGGGAGGAGGAAUUCACACGGAAGGAGUGCACACCGACCUCACGGGGAAACUCGCCUUCACCACUUUUGGGAUUUAGAGAAAGGACAUUGUUGGAUAUCUCACUGUUUGAAGACUGUAUUUCUAGCACUGUAAAUAAACGCACUGUCGGCUUCAACCCAGAGCUCCGCGCCUGAAUCCAUACCGCUCAUUACCCCUGACACUCUAACUGGAAACAGAUCACUUUUCUUGAGGACAAUUCUUUAAACUACAUUGGUAACAAUUUUUUUCUUACAGCAUUUAUCAAUACUUGAAUUUCAUUUUCUAUGUGACAUCAGCAUAGAUUAUUAAAUGGAAGUAUUCAGUGUAUGUUUAAAACCACCACAUUUAGGAAUCCACAGCCUUCCGGAAAAUAAUAAAACAGACAUUAAUCGAGUUUCUAUAUUGUUGUUUGCAGAUGAAACAUGGUAAAUGUGACUGACUGUGUUAGGGCUUUGUACACCUGUGACUUUAAUGCAUGUUUGAAGAUGGCCUGUGGGCUGUUCUUGUGUGUUUGGCUAUGCUGUUCUUAUACAAAGCACACAGCACUGUGAAAGGAUAUUUAAACUUUUUCACCCUUCUCUCUUUAGAUGCAGGGUACGUGCGCAGUGUGUGCGUUUGUGUAUGUCACUGUUAAGUCUUUGAUGUAUGAUCAAGGAUUCUUAUUGUUCACGGCAUGACUCUGGCUAGCGUAAACACCACACACCUCUUUCAUCUAACAUGCACACAGAUAGCCACGCAUCUACACACAAAGACAAGUCACACACACACACACGUACACGCAUGCAUGUGAACACGCAUAUACAGGAAUACCCUUAAGAUUGCACAGAGGCAAAUCCACAUCAUUCAAGGAUAGCUGAAAAAUUAAAUGGAAGCUUUGCAGAUGGUGUAGAGGUGAGAGGAAGCAGCGCUCACCCACACUACUUUCUUACUUUCUUUUGUCCCUCCUCUCUUCCUCUAUUUCACCCUUUUCAAUAUUCUUCCCCCUCCCCCCUCUUCCUGCCUUAUUGUCUCCUAUCCUCGUUUCCUUUUCACAUUAACCUUUGAAAGCUUUAUUUUAUCUUCCUAUUCUUUAGUGUUUCCCCAUCUUCCUUUUAUAAACUAUCUCCAUGUAUUAGUUUGCACUUAGCAUUUCUAUCGUCACAUCGCUUCACUUUUCUUACCUUUAAAGCAUUUCUAAAUAACCCGACACUGAGUGUCGUCUCAAUGGACCCCAUACAUCAGACUUCAUUCUCUCAUGUACCAUUUCAGUUUCCCUUGUAUAUCUUCAGUGUUUAGUUUUUCCAUAUUUAUCAGUUGGAAUCACAUCCCAGUAUAAUUUCCAUAAUAUCCCCAUGGGCUUUUUUCCUCACUAGCCAUGCUUUGUCAUUUUUUUUCUCCUCUAUAUUUUUACUUCUGUUGCUCACCUUUCAAAUAAACUCUAGAUAUUUUGUGCUGUCGA